GACGAACGCUGGCGGCGUGCUUAACACAUGCAAGUCGAACGGAAAGGCCCUUCUUUUGUUUGGUGCUCGAGUGGCGAACGGGUGAGUAACACUUGAGUAACCUUCCCUUGACUUUUGUAUAACUUCAGGAAACUUUGUCUAAUACCUGAUAGGAUCUCCUGCUGCAUUGUGUUUGUUGGAAAGUUUCGGCGGUUGGGGAUGGACUCGCGGCUUAUCAGCUUGUUGGUGGGGUAGUUGCUUACCAAGGCUUUGACGGGUAGCCGGCCUGAGAGGGUGACCGGCGACAUUGGGACUGAGAUACGGCACAGAAUGGUACGGGAGGCAGCAGUGGGGAAUAUUGCACAAUGGGAGGAAGCCUGAUGAAGAAACGCAGCGUGCGGGAUGACGGCCUUCGGGUUGUAAACAGAGUUAGAAUGUGAAGAAGAGUGAGUGACGGUAAUGGGUAAAGAAGCACCGGCUAACUACGUG
rnacentral:rRNA from 1 species